AGCUGACCGGCGAAUGUAAAGAUGGACUAAGCAUGUAGUGCCGACGGUGUAGUAAUUCUGGACGCGGGUUCAACUCCCGCCAGCUCCACCA
rnacentral:tRNA from 1 species